rnacentral:rRNA from 1 species
UACGAGUGCCCCAAGCGUUAUCCGGAAUCAUUGGGCGUAAAGGGAGCGUAGGUGGCGGAGUAAGUCAGGUGUGAAAUCUCGGGGCUCAACCCCGAAACUGCACUUGAUACUGCUUUGCUAGAGUACUGGAGAGGAGAUUGGAAUUUACGGUGUAGCAGUGAAAUGCGUAGAUAUCGUAAGGAAGACCAGUGGCGAAGGCGAAUCUCUGGACAGUUACUGACACUGAGGCUCGAAGGCCAGGGGAGCAAACGGG